CGGCGUGCUUAACACAUGCAAGUCGAACGGGAUCCAUCAAGCUUGCUUGGUGGUGAGAGUGGCGAACGGGUGAGUAAUGCGUGACCAACCUGCCCUGUACUCUGGAAUAGCUCCUGGAAACGGGUGGUAAUGCCGGAUGCUCCACAUGGGUGCAUGCCUGUGUGGGAAAGGGUUUACCGGUAUGGGAUGGGGUCGCGUCCUAUCAGCUUGACGGCGGGGUAAUGGCCCACCGUGGCUUUGACGGGUAGCCGGCCUGAGAGGGCGACCGGCCACAUUGGGACUGAGAUACGGCCCAGACUCCUACGGGAGGCAGCAGUGGGGAAUAUUGCACAAUGGGGGGAACCCUGAUGCAGCGACGCCGCGUGCGGGAUGACGGCCUUCGGGUUGUAAACCGCUUUUGAUUGGGAGCAAGCGUUAAGUGAGUGUACCUUUCGAAUAAGCGCCGGCUAACUACGUGCCAGCAGCCGCGGUAAUACGUAGGGCGCAAGCGUUGUCCGGAAUUAUUGGGCGUAAAGGGCUCGUAGGCGGCUCGUCGCGUCUGGUGUGAAAGUCCAUCGCUUAACGGUGGAUCUGCGCCGGGUACGGGCGGGCUGGAGUGCGGUAGGGGAGACUGGAAUUCCCGGUGUAACGGUGGAAUGUGUAGAUAUCGGGAGGAACACCAAUGGCGAAGGCAGGUCUCUGGGCCGUUACUGACGCUGAGGAGCGAAAGCGUGGGGAGCGAACAGGAUUAGAUACCCUGGUAGUCCACGCCGUAAACGGUGGACGCUGGAUGUGGGGCCCAUUCCACGGGUUCCGUGUCGGAGCUAACGCGUUAAGCGUCCCGCCUGGGGAGUACGGCCGCAAGGCUAAAACUCAAAGAAAUUGACGGGGGCCCGCACAAGCGGCGGAGCAUGCGGAUUAAUUCGAUGCAACGCGAAGAACCUUACCUGGGCUUGACAUGUUCCCGGCGACAUCAGAGAUGGUGUUUCCCUUCGGGGCGGGUUCACAGGUGGUGCAUGGUCGUCGUCAGCUCGUGUCGUGAGAUGUUGGGUUAAGUCCCGCUACGAGCGCAACCCUCGCCCCGUGUUGCCAGCACGUCAUGGUGGGAACUCACGGGGGACCGCCGGGGUUAACUCGGAGGAAGGUGGGGAUGAC
rnacentral:rRNA from 1 species